rnacentral:rRNA from 1 species
CUGUGCCAGCAGCCGCGGUAAUACAGAGGGUGCAAACGUUGCUCGGAAUUACUGGGCGUAAAGCGCGUGUAGGCGGUUUUAUAAGUCCGACGUGAAAGCCCGGGGCUCAACCCCGGAAGUGCGCUGGAUACUGUGAAGCUGGAGUCCUGAAGAGGAGAGCGGAAUUCCCGGUGUAGAGGUGAAAUUCGUAGAUAUCGGGAGGAACACCUGUGGCGAAGGCGGCUCUCUGGGCAGGUACUGACGCUGAGACGCGAAAGCGUGGGGAGCAAACAGGAUUAGAUACCCUGGUAGUCCACGCUGUAAACGAUGAGAACUAGCCGUUGUGGGUAUUGACCCCCGCAGUGGCGAAGCCAACGCGUUAAGUUCUCCGCCUGGGAAGUACGGCCGCAAGGCUAAAAACUCAAAGGAAUUGACGGGGG